GUGACCUCAGGAUCCACACUGAGUAGGUGAGGGGGCUGAGCUCGGGGCAGGCAGGUAAUUUUCCCAGGUCAUCGAGCUAGCAAGCCACAAAGCCAGGAAUUUUAAUCUAGACCUGUCCGAGUCGUGGGUGCCCUCCUAACUGCCAUGUUGACACACAGCAUUGUCCCAGGUACUGCAGAUAGAGCAGCAGACAAAAAAAAGCCAUUUCUCUCUCUUGCUUCAUGGAACUUACUUUGCAGUGUGGAAGCCUCUUUGCACUGAAGAUUUCUUUCUCAAUUGAAAAAAG
rnacentral:lncRNA from 13 species